rnacentral:misc_RNA from 1 species
AAAGUGCUAUAAGUAAUGUGAAUUGCAGAACUCAGCGAAUCAUCGAAACCUUGAACGCAUCUUGCACCUAGUCGGAAGGCUAGGUAUGUCUGUUUGAGUGUCGGUUUUAAUUAAUAUCAAACUAAAACACUAGUUUGGAAUAUGCUUGGUGAGGACGAGAAGUUUCUCUCCGGUUAAAAGAAGCAACAGCAAAACGGUUCUAGUUUUUUUUACAGUCUUUUAACUCUAGACCAAUGUCUUUAACACGUUGUAGUACUUUGUUACCCUCGUGUAAAUUGAUAUUUUGGUACCCUUUUUGUUGGAGUUUUUUUUUGACUCUAGAACAAUAUUUUGUAACUGUUUCAAAUUGUACAGAUUUAGGAGAACCUUGUACAAACAUCCCAUUUAUAUAUUACCUUACCCAUCGACCUCAAAUCAGGCAAGAUAACCCCCUGAACUUAAGC